GGAAGACCCGGCCAGGCGGCGGGGCGCAGGGGUGACGUCACUGGCCGCGCCAGGGAAGCGCCCCGCGGCUCUCUGGGUGGCCGUUGAUCGCUGCUUUUCUGUCCGCUGGUCUUGGGGUGCUUUCUUUAUGCGCUGUUGACAUUCAGAGGCUUUAGUCCAUGAUCAGAUGGCUCUGUUGCUUUUGGGCAGUGGUUGCACCACAAAGUCGCACUGCCCAGAUCUUCCGAUGCUAACUGCUGUUUCUUCAGCCCCGUUUCACGUUGUCACUGGGGGAGGGGAUGAGACGCAGAUGUCAAAGCACCAAGCAGUCAAGAGAGAAGAGAAUCCACUGGAGGCUGGGGUGGAAGGGGAAGACGUGGAAGUGGCCGCCUGAGGCCACGUGCUGAGUUGGCUGGGACUGGGAGAGGAACUGGAUAGAAGUCGCCAGAGCAGCCCGUGGCAUCCAGGGAGGAGACUGAGGAGAUUGAGGCAGGAGAGGAUGGUUCUUUUAACCCCAGAAGCAUGGAAAGCCAUAGUCGGAAGACAGAGGCCAGUGAUAUUUCCCCCACAGACCACCGAGCAGUUGCUGUGUGUGUCCUUGAGGGCAGGCAUCCGUCGUGGUACCCAAUAGCCAUUUGUCUCUGACUCAAGUUCCUGGAAGAUCCGUCCCAGCAACCCUGACUCCUUGACGCCCACCCAGAGAUGGACAGCCAUGACCAUCUGCAUGUGAUGCUACGUCUAAGUGAUUUGGCUUCUGGAACUUGCUUAUGCAGAUAUUCAAAGACUAUGUUGAGGUUGCCUUGCCCACCCAAUCUUGACCGAACAGAACAGCUCCUGUGGUUUUCACCUUUAACCCCUUCCUGCACCCACUUCUGUGCGGCAUGGCUCUGAUUUGAGGUAGAGACUGCGGCCCUGCUGGCAGUUUUUAUAAAUUCUGCUAAUUAUCAUCGGAGUUGAGUCUGGUGAUCUUUUCCCGGUCAUCUCCAAUUCUGUAACAAGGGCAGAAGAAGACUUCAGAUCUCUUGGAUCUGGAGUAAUGGAUGUUUGUGAGCCACCAUGUGGGUACUGGGAACCAAACCCAGGCCCUCGGCAAGAGCAGCCCGGCUCUUGACCUCUCAGCAUCUCUCCAGCCGCAUAUUACUGCCUAGAUUGUGGGUCGGGACACCAGAGAAGGGGAGUUGUUUUGUUUCAUUUUGUUUUUGUUUUUGUUUUUUGCGGGGACAGGG